CAGAUCCCAAGUAGACAGGAACAAAUGAAGAUAUAGCGCAUAGAAAGACUUAUUCUUGGUGAUCAACUGCUAUUGACAUUUUUGAAUCGGGGCAAAUGUGGAGUGAAGAAAAACGUUUGCAACACAUCCAUUCCAGAGUGCUCUGACAGAUAAAACUGACACGCUUGAUGAGGACACAGUCAAGCUUUAAAAGCCCGUGUGAUAAAGCAGUCUUCAAUUACUACGGUGUCUGAAUUGCAAGAAGAAGUCACCCUCCACUUAAACAUGUGACAUCUAAACUGUUUUGUGUUUUAGUUCAGCUUUUUAUAGGUUUAUCUUAAGUUGGUUAAAGGCAGAGUGCACUAUUUUUGAAAGCCAAUGUUAACAUUUGAAAUUACCUAAACAAACAUGCCUCUACCCCAAUAGAAUCUGGACCUUCUUUUGAUAGAGCCACCACACACAUACGCAAUCCCGGCAAGGAUGUCAGUUAGUAGACACGCCCCUUACUGCUGGUUGGCUACAAGUGUGUUUUGGUAGUCGGCCCAAUUUCCUUUUCCAAAGCGUUUUUCAAACAUUGUGCACUCCGUCUUUAAAUUGCACUUAAACAUUUUUUUUCAGUAACUUUUUAUGCAGAGAAUUACAUUAUGAUUAUUAUAUAAUCAUUGCUUAUGAAUAUUUAGUGAUUGCAUAUUCAUAGUGUACUUUUCAUUAAUACAUUUAAUGUUAAUGUUGUACAAUUUGAUAGAAGUAGCUCUGUAAUUGCAUUUCUCUGAUAUUUGUUUUAUAUUGUUUCUCUUUGGUCAAGAGAUUAUGUAUGUCUCUGUGCUUGAUUAAUUUACUUUAGGUAUUUUUGUAAUGUACACAACACAAUAUGAAGUAUAUUAAAUUGUUCUGUAUUCAAAAUCUGUGUAUGUGUCUUAAAAUUUAAUGAUUUUAAUAUAACAUU